AGUGAACGCUGGCGGUAGGCCUAACACAUGCAAGUCGAACGGCAGCACAGUAAGAGCUUGCUCUUACGGGUGGCGAGUGGCGGACGGGUGAGGAAUACAUCGGAAUCUACUUUUUCGUGGGGGAUCACGUAGGGAAACUUACGCUAAUACCGCAUACGACCUACGGGUGAAAGUAGGGGAUCUUCGGACCUUGCGCGAUUGAACUAGCCGAUGUUGGAUUAGCUAGUUGGGGGGGUAAAGGCCCACCAAGUCGACGAUCCGUAGCUGGUCUGAGAGGAUGAUAGGCCACACUGGAACUGAGACACGGUCCAGACUCCUACGGGAGGCAGCAGUGGGGAAUAUUGGACAAUGGGCGCAAGCCUGAUCCAGCCAUACCGCGUGGGUGAAGAAGGCCUUCGGGUUGUAAAGCCCUUUUGUUGGGAAAGAAAAGCAGCAGGUUAAUACCCCGCUGUUCUGACGGUACCCAAAGAAUAAGCACCGGCUAACUUCGUG
rnacentral:rRNA from 1 species